rnacentral:lncRNA from 1 species
ACAGCUACCGACUCUUGCACGUCCCGGCGGGUGUUGUUUAGCUCUUCACUCCCAAACGCCGUGAACUGGCCUCACCGCCGAUAAUCCUCGCCGGAAAAAUAGGGCACCUGUCCAAGAAAACAGAACACACCCACACACACCCACAAAAAGAAGAAGAGAGAAUAGGAGGAAAAUAGCAGGAGUCGCCAGAAAAAUCGUCGGCGAAAAGCAAGAAUUCAAAAAAUCUAGAAAACUCAAAACAAAACAAGCUUCAGAUAGCCAAAUAAAGGCUAAAUCGGACAGACUUGUGCAGUAUAGUAGCAGGUUAAAGUUUGCGUCGAAGUUAUUUUCUUAUAAGAACAGGAAAAGCUUAUUAAUGGAAGAGCUAAAGCAGAUUGGGGGAGGACUAUAAAAACCAAAGCAGUCAAAAAAAAUAAAUCUGCGUUGAUCAGAAAAACUAGAACUGUAACAGCAAAGAAAAGAAGAAUUAAAAGAAAAUGAACUUACGGAUGAGAAUAAAGAGCAGAAAAGUGAAUAUAGAAA